rnacentral:rRNA from 1 species
CCUCAGUAGUUAGAUAAAAAAACUACUCGCCAGAAUACUACGAGCUAUAGCUUAAAACUCAAAGGACUUGACGGUGCUUUACACCCCCUAGAGGAGCCUGUUCCGUAAUCGAUAAACCCCGAUCCACCCCACCCUCUCUUGCUCAGCCUAUAUACCGCCAUCUUCAGCAAACCCUAAUGAGGGUCACAAAGUGAGCGCAAAUGCCAUUGCCGCAAACACGUUAGGUCAAGGUGUAGCCUAUGAGACGGUAAAAAAUGGGCUACAUUUUCUACCUCAGAAAAUUCCACGAAAACCCUUAUGAAAUUUAAGGGUCCAAGGAGGAUUUAGCAGUAAAUUAAGAAUAGAGUGCUUAAUUGAACCAGGCCAUAAAGCG